rnacentral:tRNA from 1 species
GGAAGGAUGGCCGAGCGGUUUAAGGCACUGGUCUUGAAAACCAGAGAUGGGUAACUAUCCGUGGGUUCGAAUCCCUCUCCUUCCG